rnacentral:rRNA from 1 species
UGGGGAAUAUUGCACAAUGGGCGCAAGCCUGAUGCAGCAACGCCGCGUGAGGGAUGACGGCCUUCGGGUUGUAAACCUCUUUUAGCAGGGAAGAAGCGAAAGUGACGGUACCUGCAGAAAAAGCACCGGCUAACUACGUGCCAGCAGCCGCGGUAAUACGUAGGGUGCAAGCGUUGUCCGGAAUUAUUGGGCGUAAAGAGCUCGUAGGCGGUCUGUCGCGUCUGCUGUGAAAUCCCGAGGCUCAACCUCGGGCCUGCAGUGGGUACGGGCAGACUAGAGUGCGGUAGGGGAGAAUGGAACUCCUGGUGUAGCGGUGGAAUGCGCAGAUAUCAGGAAGAACACCGAUGGCGAAGGCAGUUCUCUGGGCCGUAACUGACGCUGAGGAGCGAAAGCGUGGGGAGCGAACAGGAUUAGAUACCCUGGUAGUCCACGCCGUAAACGUUGGGCGCUAGAUGUGGGGACCAUUCCACGGUUUCCGUGUCGCAGCUAACGCAUUAAGCGCCCCGCCUGGGGAGUACGGCCGCAAGGCUAAAACUU